UACGGAGGGAGCUAGCGUUAUUCGGAAUUACUGGGCGUAAAGCGCACGUAGGCGGCUUUGUAAGUCAGAGGUGAAAGCCUGGAGCUCAACUCCAGAACUGCCUUUGAGACUGCAUCGCUUGAAUCCAGGAGAGGUGAGUGGAAUUCCGAGUGUAGAGGUGAAAUUCGUAGAUAUUCGGAAGAACACCAGUGGCGAAGGCGGCUCACUGGACUGGUAUUGACGCUGAGGUGCGAAGGCGUGGGGAGCAAACAGG
rnacentral:rRNA from 1 species